UCAAGUGACUAAGUGCAUGCGGCGGAUGCCUUGGCGAUCACAGGCGAAGAAAGACGCGGCAGCCUGCGAAAAGCUGCGGGGAGCUGGCAAACGAGCUUUGAUCCGCAGAUAUCUGAAUGGGGGAACCCACACCGCAAGGUGUAUCCGUAACUGAAUACAUAGGUUACGGAGGCGAACGAGGAGAACUGAAACAUCUAAGUAUCCUCAGGAAAAGAAAUCAACCGAGAUUCCGGCAGUAGCGGCGAGCGAACCCGGAGGAGCCUAGCUUUUGAUAGUACGAACUUUAGCCGAAAGGUCCUGGAAAGGCCUGCUAUAGUGGGUGAUAGCCCCGUAGGCGAAAGAGUUGGUACGGUACUAAGGAAGCGAGAAGUAGAGCGGGACACGUGGAAUCCUGUUCGAAGACGGGGGGACCAUCCUCCAAGGCUAAAUACUCGUGAUCGACCGAUAGUGAACCAGUACCGUGAGGGAAAGGCGAAAAGAACCCCGGGAGGGGAGUGAAAUAGAACCUGAAACCGCAUGCAUACAAACAGUAGGAGCCUCGUCAGAGGUGACUGCGUACCUUUUGCAUAAUGGGUCAGCGACUUACAUUCUGUGGCGAGCUUAACCGAAUAGGGGAGGCGCAGCGAAAGCGAGUUCGAAAUGAGCGUUCAGUCGCAGGGUGUAGACCCGAAACCAGAUGAGCUAUCCAUGGCCAGGUUGAAGGUGUGGUAACACACACUGGAGGACCGAACCGACUAGUGUUGCAAAAUUAGCGGAUGAGCUGUGGAUAGGGGUGAAAGGCCAAACAAAUCUGGAGAUAGCUGGUUCUCCCCGAAAACUAUUGAGGUAGUGCCUCGUGUGUCGCUCCAGGGGGUAGAGCACUGUUUUGGCUAGGGGGACAUGGAGUCUUACCAAACCAAGGCAAACUCCGAAUACCUGGAAGCGUAAGCACGGGAGACAGAGCACCGGGUGCUAACGUCCGGACUCAAAAGGGAAACAACCCAGACCGCCGGCUAAGGUCCCAAAUAACAGCUAAGUGGAAAACGAAGUGGAAAGGCCGUGACAACCAGGAAGUUGGCUUAGAAGCAGCCAUCCUUCAAAGAAAGCGUAAUAGCUCACUGGUCGAGUCCUUCUGCGCGGAAGAUGUAACGGGGCUAAGCUGUUAACCGAAGCCGCGGAUGCACUGGUUAUCCAGUGCGUGGUAGGGGAGCGUUCUGUAAGUCUGCGAAGGCGGUUCGAGAGGACUGCUGGAGAUAUCAGAAGUGCGAAUGCUGACAUGAGUAACGUUAAAGCAGGUGAAAAGCCUGCUCGCCGUAAGCCCAAGGAUUCCUGCUCUACGUUCAUCGGAGCAGGGUGAGUCGGCUCCUAAGGUCAGGCCGAAAGGCGUAGCCGAUGGGAAUCAGGUUAAUAUUCCUGAACCUGCGUCAGAUGCGAUGGGGGGACGGAGCAUGGAAGAUCAUCCGGGUGUUGGAAGUCCCGGUUGUUGAGCGUAGGGGGUCUGCAGGCAAAUCCGCAGACGCAUCUCCAAGGCAAAGACACGUGCCGCCACGGCGGCGAAGUGAUCGGAAGUGCUUCCAAGAAAAGCCUCUAAGCCCCAGUCUGACGCGGACCGUACCGCAAACCGACACUGGUGGGCGAGCUGAAUAUGCUCAGGCGCUUGAGAGAACUCGGGAGAAGGAACUCGGCAAAUUGACACCGUAACUUCGGAAGAAGGUGUGCCGUAGUACCGUGAGAGGAGAGACACCUUGAGCGGGAAACGGUCUCAGAGAAUAGGUGGCUGCGACUGUUUAUUAAAAACACAGCACUCUGCAAAGUCGAAAGACGACGUAUAGGGUGUGAUGCCUGCCCGGUGCUGGAAGAUUAAUUGAUGGGGUGAGAGCCCUUGAUCGAAGUCCCAGUAAACGGCGGCCGUAACUAUAACGGUCCUAAGGUAGCGAAAUUCCUUGUC
rnacentral:rRNA from 1 species